UACGGGGGGGGCAAGCGUUGUUCGGAAUUACUGGGCGUAAAGGGCUCGUAGGUGGCCAACUAAGUCAGACGUGAAAUCCCUCGGCUUAACCGGGGAACUGCGUCUGAUACUGGAUGGCUUGAGUUCGGGAGAGGGAUGCGGAAUUCCAGGUGUAGCGGUGAAAUUCGUAGAUAUCGGGAGGAACACCGGUGGCGAAGGCGGCGACCUGGGUAGAUACUGACGCUGAGGCGCGAAAGCGUGGGGAGCAAACAGG
rnacentral:rRNA from 1 species